GGAAGGAUGAGAAGCUUCGACUAAGGUUCGACUCGAGCGAAGCGAGAGAACGUUGCCGCAGGCAAUGGCCCGAAGGCGAGGCGCUUUAGCGCCGAGUAAUCCUUACCCCACCACUG
rnacentral:sRNA from 1 species